AUCAAGCGCGGCUUGGAAUUGGGCGAUCGCCCGCCUCCCCGGAGGAGGGCGUGCCCCAAAGGAUCCCGGCGAAGUCGAAUCGGCUCUGGGCGUAGUAGAAUAUCAAACGUCGGGAGAGUCCAGUUCGUCUUCGGCCGUCGAAAACCCCAUUUCUUUGCAAGGUUGACCUCGGAUCAGGUAGGGAUACCCGCUGAACUUAA
rnacentral:misc_RNA from 1 species